rnacentral:misc_RNA from 1 species
UGUCCUUUAAAUCCGUGCUGG